AUUGAAAUAAAAUAAAUUUUAUUUAUAAAUUAAAAUUGACUUACAAAUUAAUUAUAUUUUACAAAACUAAACAAAAAAUUAAAAAUAAACUCAAACCAGUACAAUUUCUCUAUCCUGGUUUACACUAAACCAAAUCUAAACCUAACAAAAAAUUCUAAACCUAACAAAAAAGAGACUCCAUAGCCUUGCCCCUCUUCCAACAGCCAUGAGCCUUGCCUCCUCCAGCCGCCACGAGACUUGCGUCUUCAAACCACAAUGGACCUUACCUCCUCCAACUACCAUGAACCUUGCCUCCACCUAUCUUUAGAAAAAACAAAACAAAAUCAGAUGCAUAAUAGAGAAAUAGAGAGGAGAUACACAGAUGCGAAGAGAGAGAUAGGUCGACCGUGGUGGUGGUGGGAGGGUGACAGCGGUGGUGGUGAGACAAGGAGGAGACGUGGUGGGAGAGAGAUGGGAGGAUGAGAGAGGCGUGGAGAGAGAUGGGAGAGAUGAUAGAUAAGAGAGUGAAGAAGAAGAGAAUGAUGAAGGAGAAUCAGAUCUGUCGUCGCGGAGAAGGGAGAGAGAGAGAGAGAGGAGAAAUAAAAUUAAAAAUUAAAAAUAAUAAAUAUCGACCUUUACCUUUAGAUCUAAGUUAAUCCAACGGUUCAGAAGUGUGAUCUAUGUAUCUGAAUUUGAUUGGUUAGGAAUUUUUUUUCUUUUUUCUUUUUCUUCAGUAUUUGAUAAUUUGUUUUGUAAAUAAUUUUUCUUAGUCACAUCUUAUUUCAAAAUUUAUAUUUUGAAAUUUAUAAUUUAAGUCCAAACUUUUAUUUUUUGAACAUAAUAAACUAAUAUAUUUUUAAGAAUUGAUGUUUAAAUUUGAAAAUAUUAGAUUUAU
rnacentral:lncRNA from 1 species